AGGGUGUAAACGCUGCGGGCUUGGUGUUGGGGGUCCUUUGAGGGCGCCCAGUGCCGGAGAGAAGUUGUUAAGCCUGCUGCUUGGGGAGUACGUCCGCAAGGAUGAGACUUAAAGGAAUUGGCGGGGGAGCACCGCAACGGGAGGAGCGUGCGGUUCAAUUGGAUUCAACGCCGGACAACUCACCAGGAGCGACGGUUACAUGAAGGCCAGGCUGAAGACUCUACUUGAUGAUCUGAGAGGAGGUGCAUGGCGUCAGUGACU
rnacentral:rRNA from 1 species